ACGCUGGCGGUAGGCCUAACACAUGCAAGUCGAACGGCAGCACAGGAGAGCUUGCUCUCUGGGUGGCGAGUGGCGGACGGGUGAGGAAUACAUCGGAAUCUACUUUUUCGUGGGGGAUAACGUAGGGAAACUUACGCUAAUACCGCAUACGACCUACGGGUGAAAGCAGGGGAUCUUCGGACCUUGCGCGAUUGAAUGAGCCGAUGUCGGAUUAUCUAGUUGGCGGGGUAAAGGCCCACCAAGGCGACRAUCCGUAGCUGGUCUGAGAGGAUGAUCACCCACACUGGAACUGAGACACGGUCCACACUCCUACGGGAGGCAGCAGUGGGGAAUAUUGGACAAUGGGCGCAAGCCUGAUCCACCCAUACCGCGUGGGUGAARAAGGCCUUCGGGUUGUAAAGCCCUUUUGUUGGGAAAGAAAUCCAGCUGGUUAAUACCCGGUUGGGAUGACGGUACCCAAAGAAUAAGCACCGGCUAACUUCGUGCCAGCAGCCGCGGUAAUACGAAGGGUGCAAGCGUUACUCGGAAUUACUGGGCGUAUAGCGUGCGUA
rnacentral:rRNA from 2 species